GACGAACGCUGGCGGCGUGCUUAACACAUGCAAGUCGAACGGUAAGGCCCUUCGGGGUACACGAGUGGCGAACGGGUGAGUAACACGUGGGUGAUCUGCCCUGCACUUCGGGAUAAGCCUGGGAAACUGGGUCUAAUACCGGAUAGGACCCUGGGAUGCAUGUCCUGGGGUGGAAAGCUUUUGCGGUGUGGGAUGGGCCCGCGGCCUAUCAGCUUGUUGGUGGGGUGAUGGCCUACCAAGGCGACGACGGGGAGCCGGCCUGAGAGGGUGACCGGCCAGACUGGGACUGGGAUACGGCCCAGACUCCGAGGGGAGGCAGGAGUGGGGAAUGUUGCACAAUGGGCGCAAGCCUGAUGCAGCGACGCGGCGUGAGGGAUGACGGCCUUCGGGUUGUAAACCUCUUGCAGCACCGACGAAGCGCAAGUGACGGUAGGUGCAGAAGAAGGACCGGCCAACUACGUGCCAGCCGCCGCGGUAA
rnacentral:rRNA from 1 species